UCCGAAGUAGCUCAGUGGUAGAGCAGGCGGCUGUUAACCGCCUGGUCGUAGGUUCGAUCCCUACCUUCGGAGCCA
rnacentral:tRNA from 1 species